AUUGAACGCUGGCGGCAGGCCUAACACAUGCAAGUCGAGCGGAUGACGGGAGCUUGCUCCUUGAUUCAGCGGCGGACGGGUGAGUAAUGCCUAGGAAUCUGCCUGGUAGUGGGGGACAACGUUUCGAAAGGAACGCUAAUACCGCAUACGUCCUACGGGAGAAAGCUGGGGACCUUCGGGCCUUGCGCUAUCAGAUGAGCCUAGGUCGGAUUAGCUAGUUGGUGGGGUAAUGGCUCACCAAGGCGACGAUCCGUAACUGGUCUGAGAGGAUGAUCAGUCACACUGGAACUGAGACACGGUCCAGACUCCUACGGGAGGCAGCAGUGGGGAAUAUUGGACAAUGGGCGGGAGCCUGAUCCAGCCAUGCCGCGUGUGUGAAGAAGGUCUUCGGAUUGUAAAGCACUUUAAGUUGGGAGGAAGGGCAGUAAGUUAAUACCUUGCUGUUUUGACGUUACCGACAGAAUAAGCACCGGCUAACUCUGUGCCAGCAGCCGCGGUAA
rnacentral:rRNA from 1 species